CGGACUAAAAUCCGUCGACUUUAAAAAUCGUGAGGGUUCAAGUCCCUCUAUCCCCA
rnacentral:tRNA from 1 species